rnacentral:rRNA from 1 species
UACGUAGGGGGCUAGCGUUGUCCGGAAUCAUUGGGCGUAAAGAGCGUGUAGGCGGCCCGGUAAGUCCGCUGUAAAAGUCAAAGGCUCAACCUUUGAAUGUCAGUGGAUACUGCCGGGCUAGAGUCCGGAAGAGGCGAGUGGAACUCCUGGUGUAGCGGUGGAAUGCGCAGAUAUCAGGAAGAACACCAACGGCGAAGGCAGCUCGCUGGGACGUUACUGACGCUGAGACGCGAAAGCGUGGGGAGCAAACAGG